rnacentral:tRNA from 1 species
CUUUCGAUAGCUCAGUUGGUAGAGCGGAGGACUGUAGAUCCUUAGGUCGCUGGUUCGAAUCCGGCUCGAAGAA